GAGUUUGAUCGUGGCUCAGAUUGAACGCUGGCGGCAUGCCUUACACAUGCAAGUCGAACGGCAGCAUGAUCUAGCUUGCUAGAUUGAUGGCGAGUGGCGAACGGGUGAGUAAUACAUCGGGACGUGCCCUGUAGUGGGGAUAACUAGUCGAAAGAUUAGCUAAUACCGCAUACGACCUGAGGGUGAAAGUGGGGGACCGGCAAGGCCUCAUGCUAUAGGAGCGGCCGAUGUCUGAUUAGCUAGUUGGUGGGGUAAAGGCCCACCAAGGCGACGAUCAGUAGCUGGUCUGAGAGGACGAUCAGCCACACUGGGACUGAGACACGGCCCAGACUCCUACGGGAGGCAGCAGUGGGGAAUUUUGGACAAUGGGCGAAAGCCUGAUCCAGCAAUGCCGCGUGUGUGAAGAAGGCC
rnacentral:rRNA from 1 species